AUUGAACGCUGGCGGCAGGCCUAACACAUGCAAGUCGAGCGAGCGGCGGACGGGGGAGUAAUGUAUGGGGACUGCCCGAUAGAGGGGGAUAACUACUGGAAACGGUAGCUAAUACCGCAUACUAUCGGAUAACCCAUAUGGGAUUAGCUAGUAGGUGAGGUAAUGGCUCACAUAGGCGACGAUCCCUAGCUGGUCUGAGAGGAUGAGCAGCCACACUGGGACUUGGCCACGGCCAGGACUCCUACGGAGGCAGCAGUGGGGAAUAUUGCACAAGGGGCGCAAUCCUGAUGCAGCCAUGCCGCGUGGAUGAAGAAGGCCCUAGGGUUGUAAAGUACUUUCAGUCGGGAGGCGUUACCGACAGAAGAAGCCCCGGCUAACUCCGUGCCAGCAGCCGCGGUAAUUC
rnacentral:rRNA from 1 species